AUCGCAACACUGCGAUGUCGGUUGUUUCUUGUCUACUUGCCUUGACUAUCAUCAAGACACCGAGAAAGUUGGAAUGGACGUGAACAAGGCUGGAGCUUGUGCAGAUUCAUGCUCUCGGAGUUGCCGGAAGACCUAUCCAUUGCACUGAAGUCAUUGAACUUUUGUAAUGCCUUUGUGGUUUCAUUGCUCAAGAAAUAAAAAGUGUCUUUUUAAUAUUCAA